GGCUGUCGUUUGUUCUUGGAGAACAGCGAGGACUUAAUGUGCUCAAGAACUUCCACUGAUCCUUGGUUUUAUUCUGGAGAAUUCAGAAGUCAAGAGAACUAAGUGCUAGACAGACAGAAGUAUAGGAGAAGGAAAAAUGGCGGCGGA